CCCUUAGAUGUUCUGGGCUGCACGCGCGCUACACUGAUGCGUUCAACGAGUUUAUGACCUUGCCCGAUAGGGUUGGGUAAUCUUUGAACGCUGUUCGUGAUUGGGAUAGACCUUUGCAAUUAUGGGUCUUCAACGAGGAAUUCCUAGUAAACGCAAGUCAUCAGCUUGCAUUGAUUACGUCCCUGCCCUUUGUACACACCGCCCGUCGCACCUACCGAUUGAAUGGUCCGGUGAAAUCUCGGGACGGCGGCUUGGUCGCUUGCGUCCGACUGCUGAAACUUGAUUAAACCAUAUCAUUUAGAGGAAGGUGAAGUCGUAACA
rnacentral:rRNA from 1 species